rnacentral:rRNA from 1 species
AGAGAUCGGAAGUGAGAAUGUUGACAUGAGUAGCGAUAAACAGGGUGAGAGACCCUGUCGCCGAAAGUCCAAGGGUUCCUGCUUAAAGUUAAUCUGAGCAGGGUAAGCCGACCCCUAAGGCGAGGCCGAAAGGCGUAGUCGAUGGGAACCAGGUUAAUAUUCCUGGGCCAGGAGNNUGUGACGGAUCACGAGUGUAGUAAGNUCUUAUUGGAUUGAUNUUGCUGCUNAGUGGUUCCUGGAAAUAGCCCUCCAUUAAGAUCGUACCCUAAACCGACACAGGUGGACAGGUAGAGNAUACCAAGGCGCUUGAGAGAACUGUAUUGAAGGAACUCGGCAAAAUACCUCCGUAAGUUCGCGAGAAGGAGGCCCUAUGUUUAGGCAACUAGAUGUAGGGGGCACAACCCAGGGGGUGGCGACUGUUUACUAAAAACACAGGGCUCUGCGAAGCCGCAAGGCGAUGUAUAGGGUCUGACGCCUGCCCGGUGCCGGAAGGUUAAGAGGAGGUGUGCAAGCACCGAAUUGAAGCCCCGGUAAACGGCGGCCGUAACAAUAACGGUCCUAAGGUAGCGAAAUUCCUUGUCGGGUAAGUUCCGACCUGCACGAAUGGCGUAACGAUCCGGGCGCUGUCUCAACGUGGUUCUCAGUGAAAUUGAAAUAGCGGUGAAGAUACCGUUAACCCGCAGCAAGACGGAAAGACCCCGUGAACCUUUACUGCAGCUUGGCAGUGGAUUCGGGAAGAGCUUGUGUAGGAUAGGUGGGAGGCUUAGAAGUCGGUGCGCCAGCGCCGGUGGAGCCGUCCUUGAAAUACCACCCUGGUUUUUUCGGAAUUCUAACCUCGUCCCGUGAUCCGGGACAGGGACCCUGCCUGGUGGGCGGUUUGACUGGGGCGGUCGCCUCCCAAAGCGUAACGGAGGCGCGCAAUGGUUCCCUCAGAGUGAUUGGAAACCACUCGUAGAGUGCAAAGGCAUAAGGGAGCCUGACUGCGAGAGAGACAUCUCAAGCAGGGACGAAAGUCGGUCUUAGUGAUCCGGUGGUUCCUUGAGGAAGGGCCAUCGCUCAACGGAUAAAAGGUACUCCGGGGAUAACAGGCUAAUCGCGCCCAAGAGUUCACAUCGACGGCGCGGUUUGGCACCUCGAUGUCGGCUCAUCGCAUCCUGGGGCUGAAGCAGGUCCCAAGGGUAUGGCUGUUCGCCAUUUAAAGCGGUACGCGAGCUGGGUUCAGAACGUCGUGAGACAGUUCGGUCCCUAUCUGCUGUGGGCGCAGGAGAUCUGAAGGAAUCUGCUCUUAGUACGAGAGGACCGGAGUGGACGAACCUCUGGUGAUCCGGUUGUUCCGCCAGGAGCACCGCCGGGUAGCUAUGUUCGGCAGGGAUAACCGCUGAAAGCAUCUAAGCGGGAAGCCCCUCCUGAGAGCGAUCUCCCGGACUUAAUGUCCCUGAAGGUCACAGGUAGACCACCUGUUUGAUAGGCCGGGGGUG